CAGUAGCGCGGGAAUACAGAGGGUGCAAGCGUUAAUCGGAAUUACUGGGCGUAAAGCGCGCGUAGGUGGUUCGCCAAGUUGGAUGUGAAAUCCCCGGGCUCAACCUGGGAACUGCAUCCAAAACUGGCGAGCUAGAGUAUGGUAGAGGGUGGUGGAAUUUCCUGUGUAGCGGUGAAAUGCGUAGAUAUAGGAAGGAACAUCAGUGGCGAAGGCGACCACCUGGACUGAUACUGACACUGAGGUGCGAAAGCGUGGGGAGCAAACAGGAUUAGAUACCCCCGUAGUCCCUGUCUCUUAUACC
rnacentral:rRNA from 1 species